ACAGUGUAUCUAAACAAGUUGGCUGCUGGAUCAAUCUCUGCCAUGGAUUUUGUACCAUUUCUUUUAGUCUUUUUUCUGGGAAAAAAAAAAAAAAAAAAAAAAAUUGUGUUGGCAAUAUAUUAAUUCUGAACUAGUGUAUGAAAUAGCUGAAAGAAAUGUAUUCAUUUUAUGAAGAAGCCCAUAAUAAAUUGAUAAAAGCUUAUCUUUGCUCUGGGUUCAGGAAAAGAACUGCACGUGGCUGCCCGGUUCACUUUUGAUAAUGGGAAGUAAAGAACCAUCCCAAAAGACAAAUCUCAGGAAGCAGAUGAGAGGACCAAGCACACUCUACAGAUUGAGCCUCAGUGCCUCUGGGAUUUUAACAUGCGCAGCAAAGUUAAUAGAAGGACGUCUGAAAGAGACAUAUACAAAAAGGAUAACCAGUGGGAACAUUUGGAAAUGCCAUCAGAAAAGGGAUGUGAGCAUAUCAAAAAGAAGACCAGUUUUUUUUUAAAAAAAGAAGAAAAAAGACUUCAAAGGUACUUAAAGGGAUCUUCACAGGAGACAUUUUGAACAAUGGGAUCACUGAUUUACUGUACAGUACAGAUGGUGAGUGUGUUUAACCGAAACUAUUCUUUACCACUGACACAGAAACUGGAGCCAAGAAUGAAACUGCACUGGAGCUGUGUUUGUACAGAUUGAUUAUAUAGCUCAGAAUACAUAAUAUCUAAGACCACUC
rnacentral:lncRNA from 1 species